rnacentral:pre_miRNA from 7 species
GUCUAGGACCUCUGGGUGGUCGCGCUGUUUCCCGGCCAAUGCACCAAAUGAAAGACCCCCAAGGGGAGAUCCCCACUCAGGCACUUAAGUCCCGGGACAGCUGCGGACCCAAGAAGACACUGAGACCA